rnacentral:rRNA from 1 species
GACGGGUGAGUAACAUGUAGGUAUCUUCCCUAUGGUGAGGAAUAACACGAGGAAACUUGUGCUAAUACCUCAUAAGUCUUUACGGAGAAAGCUUUAUGCGCCAUAGGAUGAGCCUGCACUUGAUUAGUUUGUUGGUGGGGUAAUGGCCUACCAAGACUAUGAUCAAUAGCUGAUUUGAGAGGAUGAUCAGCCACAUUGGGACUGAGACACGGCCCAAACUCCUACGGGAGGCAGCAGUAGGGAAUCUUGCACAAUGGGGGAAACCCUGAUGCAGCGAUGCCGCGUGAGUGAAGAAGGCCUUUGGGUUGUAAAGCUCUUUCGUCGGGGAAGAAAAUGACUGUACCCGAAUAAGAAGGUCCGGCUAACUUCGUGCCAGCAGCCGCGGUAAUACGAAGGGACCUAGCGUAGUUCGGAAUUACUGGGCUUAAAGAGUUCGUAGGUUGUUAAAAAAGUUGGUGGUGAAAUCCCAGAGCUUAACUCUGGAACUGCCAUCAAAACUUUUUAGCUAGAGUAUGAUAGAGGAAAGCAGAAUUUCUAGUGUAGAGGUGAAAUUCGUAGAUAUUAGAAAGAAUACCAAUUGCGAAGGCAGCUUUCUGGAUCAUUACUGACACUGAGGAACGAAAGCAUGGGUAGCGAAGAGGAUUAGAUACCCUCGUAGUCCAUGCCGUAAACGAUGUGUGUUAGACGUUGGA